rnacentral:rRNA from 1 species
AGUGAACGCUGGCGGUAGGCCUAACACAUGCAAGUCGAACGGCAGCACAGUAAGAGCUUGCUCUUACGGGUGGCGAGUGGCGGACGGGUGAGGAAUACAUCGGAAUCUACUUUUUCGUGGGGGAUAACGUAGGGAAACUUACGCUAAUACCGCAUACGACCUACGGGUGAAAGCAGGGGAUCUUCGGACCUUGCGCGAUUGAAUGAGCCGAUGUCGGAUUAGCUAGUUGGCGGGGUAAAGGCCCACCAAGGCGACGAUCCGUAGCUGGUCUGAGAGGAUGGUCAGCCACACUGGAACUGAGACACGGUCCAGACUCCUACGGGAGGCAGCAGUGGGGAAUAUUGGACAAUGGGCGCAAGCCUGAUCCAGCCAUACCGCGUGGGUGAAGAAGGCCUUCGGGUUGUAAAGCCCUUUUGUUGGGAAAGAAAAGCAGCAGGUUGAUACCCCGCUGUUCUGACGGUACCCAAAGAAUAAGCACCGGCUAACUUCGUG